rnacentral:rRNA from 1 species
UACAGAGGUCUCAAGCGUUGUUCGGAUUCAUUGGGCGUAAAGGGUGUGUAGGUGGCGCCGUAAGUCGGGUGUGAAAUUUCGGAGCUUAACUCCGAAACUGCAUUCGAUACUGUGGUGCUUGAGGACUGGAGAGGAGACUGGAAUUCAUGGUGUAGCAGUGAAAUGCGUAGAGAUCAUGAGGAAGACCAGUGGCGAAGGCGGCUCGCUGGGCCGGUCCUGACACUGAGGCGCGAAGGCGUGGGGAGCGAACGGG